rnacentral:lncRNA from 1 species
UGGAGACCUUUUCCUUGACUUAACAGGCUUUAGGAAAGAGAUUGUCCAGCAUUUCCAUUUGAGCUCCACUUAAAGCUGCAGAUCUAUCAGUGUGGUGUACAAACAUGACAGCUAAGCAAAGCCACAGGCUACCAACUGCUGAUGGUCCAAGAUCUCCAUAUGAGAACACACAUUCCCAGGCAUGGCACUGGCCCAGCGGCAAGUGACGGUGCAGGAGGGCCCUCUCUACCGUACAGAGGGCUCCCACAUCACCCUGUGGUGCAAGGUGAGCGGCUACCAGGGCCCGGCAGAGCAGAACUUCCAGUGGUCCAUCUACCUGCCCUCGGCCCCCGAGCGGGAGGUG